rnacentral:rRNA from 1 species
GGCACGGGGGGCCUACGGGAGGCAGCAGUGAGGAAUAUUGGACAAUGGGCGCAAGCCUGAUCCAGCCAUGCCGCGUGCAGGAAGAAGCAUCUAUGGUGUGUAAAUCUGCUUUUGUACGGGAAGAAACACUUCCUUACGUGAAGGAGCUGUACGGACCCGUAAGAAUAAGAUCGGC